rnacentral:lncRNA from 1 species
UUACGAGAGGCGAUUGCAACCUAUCGGAGUAGUAUUUUGCGUCAACCUGAUGAAAAAAAGAGAGAGGCAGCACUCUCAUUCUUUGUUGAGUACUUGGAAAGAUACUACUUCCUUAUAUGUUUUGCUGUGUACCUUCAUUCAGAGGGUGGUUACCUUCAAUCUGGUUCGCUUGGUCAUGUCAGUUUUUCUGAUUGGAUGCGAGCUAGGCCAGAGCUCUAUAGCAUUCUUCGCAGGUACUGGACAGGCGUCUUUUUUUUUCCCUUUGAAUUUGAAUGCUAAAAAUUAGACUGCAUAUGGUAUUCAGCCGUCUCAUGUAAGUUCAUAUUCCUCUUUAGGUUGCUCAGGAGAGAUCCUAUGGGUGCCCUUGGAUAUGCGGCUAUGAAGCCUUCUUUGACAAAGAUUGCAGAAUCUACUGAUGGGCGCCCUCAUGAGAUGAGUGUCGUUGCUGCACUUAGAAGUGGGGAAGUACUGGGAAGUCAGACUGUUCUAAAGAGUGAUCAUAGUCCCGGUUGUCAAAUUCUAAGUCUACCAGAGAGGGUGGAAGGAGCACCAAAUUUUAGAGAGGUUCCAGGAUUUCCUGUAUAUGGUGUAGCGAACCCAACUAUAGAUGGUAUUCGAUCUGUCAUUGAAAGGGUUGGGAGUUCAAGAGGUGGCCGGCCUGUCUUUUGGCAUAACAUGAGAGAAGAACCUGUUAUAUACAUCAACGGGAAACCGUUUGUGCUACGUGAAGUUGAAAGGCCAUAUAAGAACAUGCUAGAAUAUACGGUAAAUAAUCUGUAUGUUUUUAGUAUAUUAGCCGAUACUAAUGAAUUGGUCAAAAAGCUGACAUAAGUACCUUUGUUUAGGGGAUUGAUCGCGAUAGAGUCGAAGGAAUGGAGGCUCGUUUGAAAGAGGAUAUUCUGAGAGAAGCUAGGCGGUAUGAUGGUGCGAUAAUGGUUAUUCAUGAAACCAAGGAUGGACAGAUUUUUGACUUAUGGGAACAUGUGGAUGCUGAUUCUGUUCAAACACCCCUCGAGGUGUACAAAAGUUUAGAGGCCGAUGGCUUUCCUAUUAAGUACGCCCGUGUGCCUAUUACCGAUGGUAAAGCGCCUAAAAGCUCUGACUUUGACACAUUGACGUCCAAUAUCGCUUGUGCUUCCAAAGACACUGCUUUUGUCUUCAAUUGCCAGGUUGAGAUUCCCAAUCUGCUUUGGUAUUUGAUAUAUUAAGUAUUCUUGAGUUUUGCUGUUCGACUUACAAAGGGAAUUCCUUUUUUUCAUUCGCAGAUGGGUAGAGGUAGAACAACCACUGGAACUGUUAUUGCAUGUCUAGUGAAGCUCCGCAUCAAUUAUGGAAGACCUAUUAAGGUUCUGUAUGAUGUUCUGACCCAUGAAAUCGUGGAUGAAGAUUCAUCAAGUGGUGGUGAAGAAACUGGAAGCAAUACCGCUGAAACAAGACCUCUUAUUUCAGAAAGAAGAACCGAGGACCAGCAGGGCCGUACAUUUGGAAUGGAUGACAUCCUCCUGCUGUGGAAAAUCACUAGGUUAUUCGAUAACGGAGUUGAAUCUCGUGAGGCGUUAGAUGCUGUGAUUGAUAGAUGUUCUGCUUUGCAAAACAUUCGUGAAGCUGUUCUGCAGUACAGGAAAGUUUUUAACCAACAACAUGUUGAGCCAAGAGUAAGAAGUGCUGCUUUGAAACGUGGCGCUGAAUAUCUGGAGAGAUACUUCCGGUUGAUUGCCUUUGCAGCAUAUCUUGGAAGUGAAACUCUAGACGACUUCUUUGUGAAAGGAGGGUCUAAGGUGACUUUCAAGAAUUGGCUGCAUCAGAGACCUGAGGUGCAAGCGAUGAAGUGGGUGUGUGUGUUGGAUGAGAGAGAUGGCGUCUAUACCGAAAGAGCCAGAGCAGGUGAUGAAGCUUAGAGACGGAUCUGUACUCGGCAAGAAGACGAUUCUCAAGAGCGAUCAUUUCCCAGGCUGUCAGAACAAGCGUAUGACUCCCCAGAUCGAUGGCGCUCCCAAUUACCGUCAGGUCUCUCCUCGAUUUUGAUUCUCUUCGUUGCUAUUGAUUAGGGCUAGCUCUCUGUGUACCAAAUCGAAAUCGGAUCAGUGAAGAUGCGUUUGGGCUACUUAGGGAUCAGAAACGAAUAGGCAUUUCUCUCUUUGAUUCUAGGUCGAAUCGAUGUUUGAUGUACACCACUCGCUGUAUUGUUGAUUGGAUGUUGUGGACUAUGUUGUAACAGGCUGAGUCACUACGAGUUCACGGGGUUGCAAUCCCAACGGCUGUUGGGAUACGGAAUGUUCUUAGGCACAUUGGAGCUCAUAAGGAUGGUAAACAAGUUCAAGUUCUUUGGAUUAGUCUUAGGGAGGAACCGGUAUGUAUCCUUUCUAUAAAGCCUCUGCAUAUGUCACUUAUCGUUGCUUCUUAUUAACUUGUUAUUUUACUCUACAUUUGUCAGGUAGUAUACAUAAAUGGGCGACCGUUUGUUUUGCGUGAUGUGGAGAAGCCUUUCACCAAUCUUGAGUACACGGUACAAAGCCUUACCCUGCUAAUUUGUUUUCACUUGAUCUUUAAUUUGUAUCAUGUCAAUCCGCUAGUUUGAUGGCUUGAAGCAUUUUAUCUCCACUGAGCAAAUCAGAAAUGACAAUGUAUCCGUGGUUCCUUUCAUUUCUGACCUUAAGUUCAUCUUUCUGUUCAGGGAAUCAACAGGGUAAGGGUAGAGCAAAUGGAAGCACGGUUGAAAGAAGAUAUUCUCAUGGAGGCUUCUAGGUAUAUGUUUACCUGUAUCCUCUGAGUCUUACAACGGUGUAACUUUUUUUCUUUCUGCUUUGCGGUGUAUUUGACUAUUUUCCUGGCAGAUAUGGGAAUAAGAUACUGGUCACUGAUGAACUGCCGGAUGGUCAGAUGGUGGACCAGUGGGAGCCAGUCUCAACUGAUUCCUUAAAGACGCUGCUUGAGGUAGGACUUUGGAAUGAAGAAUCUAUGUGUUUGACACAGAGCAUUUAUCCUUUUAUGUGGUUUCCAUGUCAUUGUUUUUUGCUUGUACGCUUCUCUGGACCCAGGUUUACGAAGAACUGCAAGCUGAAGGCUACCUUGUUGAUUAUGAGCGUGUUCCUGUAACGGAUGAAAAGUCACCUAAAGAAACAGAUUUUGAUGCGUUGGUAAGUCUUAUGCUUACGAAAUUAGUGAGAACGUUUUUGUGGGUAACUUUGGCGAAACGCAAAGCUAGGAUAGUUUGUUUUCAUUCCUUUCCUAAAGUCAAAAUGUUCAGUGAUCUCAUCUCUUUCCGUUUAGUAUUCGCUAGGUGCAUAACAUAAUACGUCCCUGUCAACUAGUAUACUAAUUUACAUGUGUUUUUGCAGAUUAAGAAGAUAUCUCAAGCGGACAUUAAUACGGAGAUAAUUUUUAAUUGUCAAAUGGGACGUGGACGUACAACGACGGGAAUGGUUAUUGCAACUCUCGUCUAUUUCAAGCGUACUGGAGCAUCAGGUACUUCAUCCUCAUGUGAAGAGAGGUUCUAACGGAUGCUCUUUCUAACAAAUUAUAUUUGUAUUUAAAACAGAAAGAACCUAAUUUGGAGAACAUUAUUUUGAAUUGUCUACUGUACCUUUUGGAAUGUCGUAGUGCUUUAUAGUUUAGAAAGAAAUGAAAUGGUAUGGACUAGCCAAAUAAUCACAUGCAUAUAUGUAUUUCCAGGAGCCACGUUUUCUGGAACAAAAUAUACUCCAAAGAGUCAUGACAGAUUGGUGUUUAAGUCGGUACAUUAUGGUAGAAGUUUGCACUAACCUGCCUUUUUUUUUGCUAUAUCUCUUUGAAUAAAGAUCAUGGAUUCCCAAGAAACAACUCUUUUGGGAGAAUCUUUAAAGCUGGUGAAAACAUUACUAUAAAUCUGCCAAAUUCUGAGGAGGCAAUUCGUAGAGGGGAAUAUGCAGUUGUUAGAAGUUUGAUACGAGUCCUAGAGGUAUUUAGUCCCUUUGUGCUUGUCUUUAUUUGAUCUUGUUGCUGGUCCGGCUGGUUCUAAUCAUUAACUUGUUUCAUGAUUCCACAGGGUGGUGUAGAAGGCAAAAGGCAAGUUGAUAAAGUCAUCGACAAAUGUGCAUCCAUGCAGGUCUUUUUUGUCAAUUUUAAUACUAAAGUAUACGAUCUAAUAAUAUAUAAACCGUGUAGUGUUUUGUCUUAUGGGUUUUCACUUAAGGUAAAAGAUCUAAAUAUUAUCGUUGAAUCAACUUACAGAACUUACGAGAGGCGAUUGCAACCUAUCGGAGUAGUAUUUUGCGUCAACCUGAUGAAAAAAAGAGAGAGGCAGCACUCUCAUUCUUUGUUGAGUACUUGGAAAGAUACUACUUCCUUAUAUGUUUUGCUGUGUACCUUCAUUCAGAGGGUGGUUACCUUCAAUCUGGUUCGCUUGGUCAUGUCAGUUUUUCUGAUUGGAUGCGAGCUAGGCCAGAGCUCUAUAGCAUUCUUCGCAG